GGCAGGAAGAAGUUCAAGAAGAGACAGUUUCGGAAAUGUUUGUCAACCUCUGACUACAUUAAGCAGUCUGAUGCGAUGCCAGUUUCUGUGCCUUUGUUUUUCUACUUUGGGUAUCAGUAUCUACAACACAUAGGAAAACUUUUGGAUUAUGGAUAUUUCUUGCUGUACCAGGCCUUAAAGACAAACAGGUGCGAUUACGUCAGUGCGUUGGUUUCUGAUGAAGUGAAGUUUAAAGCUACGUACCUUGCAAAACUUUACGCUAAGACAUUUCCAGUAACGAAAACUAGAAAUUGCUGCAGGCGGAAUUGGGAAG